rnacentral:misc_RNA from 1 species
CACCUCAGUUCCAGCAAUGCCCAUUGCUAACCCAAUGUCGGCUUCAUGAAGAGCCGGAGCAUCAUUUGUACCAUCACCGGUCACUGCAACAACCUCUCCAAAUUUUGUUCGCAAGUGCUUCACAAGGGUAUGUUUAUCCAAUGGUGAAGAUCGGGCCAUUACCUGAAUUCUUGGAAUCAGUUCAAGCAACUCCUCCUCACUUUUCUCCCGAAAUUCUGGUCCUUCAAUUGCUAUGCCCUUAUCCGUUAAAAUUCCACAUUCUCUAGCAAUAGCCUUUGCAGUGGUUAUGUUGUCUCCAGUGACCAUUCGAACAACAAUUCCAGCUGCUGAUUUGCAAAUUGCAACAGACUCCUUGACGCCAGGGCGCACUGGAUCUUUGAUGCCUACAAUACCUAUGCAAGUGUACCCUUUGAAAGGAAUAUGGCUUUCAGCAGAGAAUUCACUUCCAAUUUCUAUGUAAGCAAGGCAAAGAGUUCGAAGAGCUUCACUGGCAAAUUGUUCAAUCGUAUUCUUUAAAUGAUUGAUGGUUGUUUCAUCAAGGGGAACAACCUCACCAUUUGUGUCUAUAAAUUUGUCACAUGCAGCUAAAAUU